rnacentral:rRNA from 1 species
GAUGAACGCUGGCGACGUGCCUAAUACAUGCAAGUCGAGCGAACAGACGAGGAGCUUUCUCCUCUGACUUUAUCGGCGGACGGGUGCUUAACACGUGGUUAACCUACCUAUCCGACUGGGAUAACUUCGGGAAACCGUAGCUAAUACCGGAUAAUAUAUUGACCCUCAUUGUUCACUAGUUAAAGACGGUUUUUCUUUCACUUAUAGAUUGAUCCGCCCCGCAUUAGCUAGUUGGUUAGGUAACUGCUUACCAAGGCAACGAUGCGUAGCCGACCUGAGCGGGUGAUCGGACACACUGGAACUGAGACACGGUACAGACACCUACGGGAGGAAGCAGUAGGGAAUCUUCCGCAAUGGGCGAAAGCCUGACGGAGCAAAGCCGCGUGAGUGAUGAAGGUCUUCGGAUGGUAAAACUCUGUUAGUAGGGAAGAACAAAUGUGUAAGUAACUAUGCACGUCUUGACGGUACCUAAUCAGAAAGCCACGGCUAACUACGUG